GAUCAUGGCUCAGGAUGAACGCUGGCGGCGUGCCUAACACAUGCAAGUCGAGCGAUUCUCUUCAGAGAAGAGCGGCGGACGGGUGGGUAACGCGUGGGUAACCUGCCCUGUACACACGGAUAACAUACCGAAAGGUAUGCUAAUACGAGAUAACAUAAGAAUUCGCAUGUUUUUCUUAUCAAAGCUCCGGCGGUACAGGAUGGACCCGCGUCUGAUUAGCUAGUUGGUGAGGUAAUGG
rnacentral:rRNA from 1 species